CUCUGCCUGCAGGGGCGCUCCAGGCCCUGCACCACAGCCAAUCAGGGGCCUGCGCCCGCCUCUGCCGCGCCCUCAUUGGCUGCCUCACCCAGCCAGACCCCGCCCACCCUGACAGCCCCGCCCCCCGGGGGCUGCUGGGGGCCCUGCAGGACCCCGAGCGCAGCCGAUUGGUGGAGGCCGCCCUGGGGGUCCUGGACCCCCCCCAAAUCCGGGGCCUCUUCCGGGAGCACCUGAGGGGGCACCUGAGGGGCGUGGCCUCCCACAGGGUGGCCAAUCAUGGCCUGCAGAGGCUCCUCGGCCACGCCCCCGAGGAUGUGGUGGAGGAGGUGCUGUUGGAGCUGGGCCCCGCCCUGGGGGAGCCGCUGGCCCGGGGCCACCCCGGGGUGGUCACCGCCCUGCUCGGGGCCGCCCGGAGGCACCCCCGGCUCCAGGGCCCCGCCCUCCAAUGGCUGCUCAAGGCUCUGGACUGCUGGGACCCCUCUAGCGCCGCAGCCAAUGCCUGCGCGCCCUGGCUCAGCUCCGCCCCU